AACGCGAAGAACCUUACCAACCUUUGACAUGUCCAGUAUGGGUUUAGGAGACUAGAUCCUUCAGUUCGGCUGGCUGGAACACAGGUGCUGCAUGGCUGUCGUCAGCUCGUGUCGUGAGAUGUUGGGUUAAGUCCCGCAACGAGCGCAACCCUCAUCUUCAGUUGCCACCGGGUUAGGCCGGGCACUCUGAAGAAACCGCCGGUGACAAGCCGGAGGAAGGCGGGGAUGACGUCAAGUCCUCAUGGCCCUUACAGGUUGGGCUACACACGUACUACAAUGGUGGUGACAGUGGGCUGCGAAGUCGCGAGACGGAGCCAAUCCCCAAAAGCCAUCUCAGUUCAGAUUGCACUCUGCAACUCGAGUGCAUGAAGUUGGAAUCGCUAGUAAUCGCAGAUCAGCACGCUGCGGUGAAUACGUUCCCGGGCCUUGUACACACCGAGACGUA
rnacentral:rRNA from 1 species